rnacentral:ncRNA from 1 species
AAGUGAAUAACAAAUGCUUUUCGUAUAAUCUCAGGAAUUGGCCUGAGAGUCUCUACGAGGUCACCGUAAUGAUCUGGCUACGAAAAAGAAGAAAUAUUGC